CCUGUCCUGUUAAUGUUUCCCUCCUGUAUUGUGUACAUGUUCUGGGUUCUGCUUUCUGUCCUGCUCCAGUUCUGGGUUCUUCUAGUCUUGUCUUAUCUUGUUUGGUGCCUAUUCUAGUCUUACCUUGUUUCUAGUACUAGAUACAUAUCUGUUUAAUAUCAGCUCCUGGCAUCCGCCAAGCUGCAUCAGGGCUCUGGCAUGUGAUCGCACCACACCCUGAUUGUCCAUGUCCACGCUGAGACUCUUUUCAUCCACAUCAGGCACACAGGGGUCCCGGUCUUUGGACCACCACUCGUGACACACUGAUAGCUGGGGAAGGGGAGAAAAAU